UGGGGAAUUUUGGACAAUGGGCGAAAGCCUGAUCCAGCAAUGCCGCGUGUGUGAAGAAGGCCCUUCGGGUUGUAAAGCACUUUUGUCCGGAAAGAAAUCCUUGGCUCUAAUACAGUCGGGGGAUGACGGUACCGGAAGAAUAAGCACCGGCUAACUACGUGCCAGCAGCCGCGGUAAUACGUAGGGUGCAAGCGUUAAUCGGAAUUACUGGGCGUAAAGCGUGCGCAGGCGGUUUGCUAAGACCGAUGUGAAAUCCCCGGGCUCAACCUGGGAACUGCAUUGGUGACUGGCAGGCUAGAGUAUGGCAGAGGGGGGUAGAAUUCCACGUGUAGCAGUGAAAUGCGUAGAGAUGUGGAGGAAUACCGAUGGCGAAGGCAGCCCCCUGGGCCAAUACUGACGCUCAUGCACGAAAGCGUGGGGAGCAAACAGGAUUAGAUACCCCUGGUAGUCCACGCCCUAAAACGAUGUCAACUAGUUGUUGGGGAUUCAUUUCCUUAGUAACGUAGCUAACGCGUGAAGUUGACCGCCUGGGGAGUACGGUCG
rnacentral:rRNA from 1 species